rnacentral:rRNA from 1 species
GACGAACGCUGGCGGCGUGCCUAAUACAUGCAAGUAGAACGCACAGUUUAUACCGUAGCUUGCUACACCAUAGACUGUGAGUUGCGAACGGGUGAGUAACGCGUAGGUAACCUGCCUGGUAGCGGGGGAUAACUAUUGGAAACGAUAGCUAAUACCGCAUAAUAUUAAUUAUUGCAUGAUAAUUAAUUGAAAGGUGCAAUUGCACCACUACCAGAUGGACCUGCGUUGUAUUAGCUAGUAGGUGAGGUAACGGCUCACCUAGGCGACGAUACAUAGCCGACCUGAGAGGGUGAUCGGCCACACUGGGACUGAGACACGGCCCAGACUCCUACGGGAGGCAGCAGUAGGGAAUCUUCGGUAAUGGACGAAAGUCUGACCGAGCAAGGCCGCGUGAGUGAAGAAGGGUUUCGGAUCGUAAAGCUCUGUUGUAAGAGAAGAACGGGUGUGAGAGUGGAAAGUUCACACUGUGACGGUAUCUUACCAGAAAGGGACGGCUAACUACGUG